rnacentral:rRNA from 2 species
AGAGUUUGAUCCUGGCUCAGGACGAACGCUGGCGGUGUGCUUAACACAUGCAAGUCGAACGGUAAGGCCCUUUCGGGGGUACACGAGUGGCGAACGGGUGAGUAACACGUGAGUAACCUGCCCUCAUCUCUGGGAUAACAGUCGGAAACGGUUGCUAAUACUGGAUAUGAGCCUGCAAGGCAUCUUGUGGGUUGGAAAGAUUUUUUGGUUGGGGAUGGACUCGCGGCCUAUCAGCUUGUUGGUGAGGUAGUGGCUCACCAAGGCUUCGACGGGUAGCCGGCCUGAGAGGGCGACCGGCCACAUUGGGACUGAGAUACGGCCCAAACUCCUACGGGAGGCAGCAGUGGGGAAUAUUGCACAAUGGACGGAAGUCUGAUGCAGCAACGCCGCGUGCGGGAUGACGGCCUUCGGGUUGUAAACCGCUUUCAAUUGUGACGAAGCUUUUUGUGACGGUAGCAGUAGAAGAAGCACCGGCUAACUACGUGCCAGCAGCCGCGGUGAUACGUAGGGUGCGAGCGUUGUCCGGAUUUAUUGGGCGUAAAGAGCUUGUAGGUGGUUUGUCGCGUCGGGAGUGAAAACUCAGGGCUUAACUCUGAGCUUGCUUUCGAUACGGGCUGACUUGAGGGAGGUAGGGGAGAAUGGAAUUCCUGGUGGAGCGGUGGAAUGCGCAGAUAUCAGGAGGAACACCGGUGGCGAAGGCGGUUCUCUGGACCUUUCCUGACGCUGAGAAGCGAAAGCGUGGGGAGCGAACAGGCUUAGAUACCCUGGUAGUCCACGCUGUAAACGGUGGGUACUAGGUGUGGGGGACAUUCCACGUUCUCCGUGCCGUAGCUAACGCAUUAAGUACCCCGCCUGGGGAGUACGGCCGCAAGGCUAAAACUCAAAGGAAUUGACGGGGCCCCGCACAAGCGGCGGAGCAUGCGGAUUAAUUCGAUGCAACGCGAAGAACCUUA